rnacentral:rRNA from 1 species
UACGUAGGUGGCAAGCGUUGUCCGGAAUUAUUGGGCGUAAAGCGCGCGCAGGCGGUCCUUUAAGUCUGAUGUGAAAGCCCACGGCUCAACCGUGGAGGGUCAUUGGAAACUGGGGGACUUGAGUGCAGAAGAGGAAAGCGGAAUUCCACGUGUAGCGGUGAAAUGCGUAGAGAUGUGGAGGAACACCAGUGGCGAAGGCGGCUUUCUGGUCUGUAACUGACGCUGAGGCGCGGAAGCGUGGGGAGCAAACAGG